rnacentral:rRNA from 1 species
GACAGAGGGUGCAAACGUUGUUCGGAAUUACUGGGCGUAAAGCGCGUGUAGGCGGCCCUGCAAGUCGGGUGUGAAAUCCCACGGCUCAACCGUGGAAGUGCACUCGAAACUGCAGGGCUAGAGCCUGGAGAGGAAGGUGGAAUGCUUGGUGUAGAGGUGAAAUUCGUAGAUAUCAAGCGGAACACCGGUGGCGAAGGCGGCCU